rnacentral:misc_RNA from 1 species
CCACUAUAUUUCUGAAAACUGUAGGCUAGUAACUAACCAUAAAAUUAUGUUUAAUUUACACAGUUUUGGUUAGUUAAUAAAUUAUUUUAUUAUUGAAAGAUCAUCUCUUGAACUCGAUUACUUCAUCACGUAAAAUUCUUAAAAUUCCCAACCAAAUCCAUAGUCUUCUUUCUUUAAUAAUAAUAAUCAAUCACAAGGAUUUUUCCCAAUAAAAGAAAUGUAUUCUUUUUAGCUGAAACAAAAAUCAACAACUAAAAUAAAUAUACAAAAUAGAACUUGAGAAUACAGAAACUCCUUACAAACAGCCAAAAGUACUACAUGGACAAAGGACAGUGAAUGCUAGUGGACAAGUAAUGAGAGCAAUCCAAGAAUAGGAAGCCAAAAGUGCAAAGAAUGUUUUGUACCAUGAAGCGUUUCAUAUGUUAAUCUUCAAUAAACCCAGCUAGCUUCCUUGUUGUUAAGAUGAAGUAGAGAAAGAAGUCCACAGCGAAAGUGAUUCUCAUUGUUUAAUUAAAAAAAAAGUGAUUCUCGAAAUCAAAGAAGCACCCACAAGCAAACAGCAUCUCUAAUUAAAAAAGGCACAAGAAGAUCUUGAAAAACAACACAAGCAAUUGACACCAGCGCCCCCAUCAAAUUAAUAAUCAGAAUAGAAAGGCAAAACAGUGAAAUUAACAACAGAAUCAAAGGCAUGUCUAACUAAAGUUAAAAGAAGAACAAAGACCACAACGAUUUUCAUUUCCACCAAGUAGAAUAACAGUAAUAAGUAUAAAGACUGAUCUCAAAUGAUUCCUACAAGAAAAGUGUGUAGAGAAAAAUGGAAGUUACAGUCAUCAUUGCAUGGACCCAUUGAUGGCGGGAUUCAGCAUUGAUGCCAAUGACAGUGCGGCGAGGAUAUUUGUGAAUGGUGAAAAGAAGCCAAGAGUGGUAUAUUCCCAGCACCAACAUGCCCAUAGGUACAAGCACAUAGUCUAAACACUGCUCCUCCAUCAUCGUCUACUCUCUCUCUCUCAGGGAAAUGAAUAAAAGAAUGAUUACAGAGACACACGGGAGAAAAGAGACCAAAGUGUUUCAGACACGGUUC